rnacentral:rRNA from 1 species
AUUGAACGCUGGCGGCAGGCCUAACACAUGCAAGUCGAGCGGAUGAAGGGAGCUUGCUCCUGGAUUCAGCGGCGGACGGGUGAGUAAUGCAUAGGAAUCUGCCUGGUAGUGGGGGAUAACGUCAGGAAACGGGCGCUAAUACCGCAUACGUCCUGAGGGAGAAAGUGGGGGAUCUUCGGACCUCACGCUAUCAGAUGAGCCUAGGUCGGAUUAGCUAGUUGGUGGGGUAAAGGCCUACCAAGGCGACGAUCCGUAACUGGCCUGAGAGGAUGAUCAGUCACACUGGAACUGAGACACGGUCCAGACUCCUACGGGAGGCAGCAGUGGGGAAUAUUGGACAAUGGGCGAAAGCCUGAUCCAGCCAUGCCGCGUGUGUGAAGAAGGUCUUCGGAUUGUAAAGCACUUUAAGUUGGGAGGAAGGGCAGUAAGUUAAUACCUUGCUGUUUUGACGUUACCAACAGAAUAAGCACCGGCUAACUUCGUG